UGCCGUGAGCGUGUGCCCGCGGUUCGGGGGAUGAGUAGGGGCGCUGACUUUUAGGACCAGCCAUUUGAGUCAAGCUGGAGACGACGUCUUAGAACCUAGGAUGAGUCUCGUUUGGUUUUAGUCUGCAAAGCUCGUCUGCAUCAGACAGGAAUUUUCCCCAGACGCGGGUGCACGUGAAUUAAUUCAUCAGAAGGCGGUUCACGGCCUGAGUGAGGGGGACGAGGGCGGCGAAUUCCUCCGCCUCAUUCCUACCCUGACGAUUCGAGGUGGGUGAGAGGAAGGCGUGGGGCGGCUGGGUGCGUGGGGUGGGGGAAGGUCACCUCUUCGGCCUCUCUGGGCCCUCCAGCCUCUUCCUGAGAGGAGCUCGCCUCGGCCCCUUGGUUGGGGGGAUGGGAGCGUCUCCGGAAGGCCCUCGGCCGAGCAGCUGGGCCUGCACCCCUGGUCCCUUCCAGUUCGUUUCUGCUGCGGCGGCAAGAGGCUGGGGAGCCGAUGACUCACCCUGCCGGCUAAUUGCAGCGUUAAAUAACUUUGCGCCGGAUUCGGUGGCUGCAGCAGGGAACGCGCUCCGGGCGCCGGGGGAGGUGGAGGGACGCCCUGAGAACGCACCUCCGUCCCUGUCACCAGCCUUAGCAAGUUCUGGCCUGUGGAGCCGUCAUCCAGAGCGCACAGCUUCAUGCCCUUGAAGGGCGCAGUGUGUCCCGUGGUGCCCGGUGGGCCCGGACAGAGACCCCAGAGGCUCUGUCUGAAGGAAGCUGCACCCACAGACUCCAUCCAGGCAGCGCGGGCGCGGUCCUGUCGCCUACCUUUCUCGGAAGCCAUCUGCCCAUGUGAAUCUAUGUGAAGGCCCUUCAUGCGCUCCUGGACAUCUGCGUGGGAUUUACUUCAACUGCUAUCGCUGCGAGGAGGACGAGCAUGUUUCACUGUAUUUUUAGCAGAGAGUGCAGAUUUUAGAACCUCGCGAACGGUCCUGUAUCUCCUGCACGAUGACUCUCCAGAACAGGAAUAGUGACCCUUCCUUUGCAUUUAUGGUGCAUAGGUUUUCAAAGGACAGUGUGUAAAUCAGCUUGUGUAAUAAUUGUGGCACCCACGCGCGCAAGCAGACUUACCAUGAGCUGACUUCCACUGAUUAUUUCAGUUUCCAGGGAAACGAGGUGCUCGCUUCACCCCACUGAGAUGUAACUCAGUUUUGUGGGAUCCCACUGCCCUCCAGGUGCCGCUCCGAGUGCUCUACACAGAUUUUCAUUCAGUCCUUGCGGCACACGAAGGCUGUUAAUAUGAUGAAUUACACUGAUUCAGUUUCAAAUGUCCAACCAAGCUUGCACUCCAGAGAUGAAGCCCACUUGAUCACAUGGAUUAUUCUUUUAAUAUAUGAUGGAUACGACUUGGCUGUUCUUUUGUUGAGGAUUUUUGUGUUUAUGUUAAUGAGGAUAUUAUUUGUAGUUUUCUUUUCUUGUAAUGUUUUUGUCUUUGUUCAGUGUCAGAGUAAUGCCAACUUCAUAAAGUGAGCUGGGAAGUACUCCCUCAUUUUCUGUUUUCUGUGAAAGAAUUGUAUAGAAUUGAUGUUAUUUCUUCCUUAAGUGUUGAGUAGAAUUCACUUGCAAAGCCAUCUGAGGUUGACAUCUUCUUUGGGAAUGACUUUAGCUAUAAAUUCAAUUUAUUUAACAGAUAUAGGGCUAUUAAGGUUAUUUAAUUUUUUUCUUGAAUGAGCUUUAGUGUCCUGUGUUUUUCAAGGAAUUUUUCCAUUUUAUUUAAGUUUUUAGAUUUGUUGGCAUAAAGUUAUCCCAAUAUUUCCUUAGAAGUUGUGACUUUUACUGCAUAUAAAACAUACCUCAAUAAAGCUAAUACAUACAUAUA
rnacentral:lncRNA from 10 species